rnacentral:rRNA from 1 species
UACGAAGGGGGCUAGCGUUGUUCGGAAUUACUGGGCGUAAAGCGCGCGCAGGCGGUCUUCCAAGUCAGUGGUGAAAGCCCGGAGCUCAACUCCGGAAUUGCCAUUGAAACUGUUGGACUUGAGGAUGAGAGAGGUGAGUGGAAUUCCCAGUGUAGAGGUGAAAUUCGUAGAUAUUCGGAAGAACACCAGUGGCGAAGGCGACUCGCUGGACAAGUAUUGACGCUGAGGUGCGAAAGCGUGGGGAGCAAACAGG